rnacentral:rRNA from 1 species
UAUGACCUACGGGAGGCAGCAGUGGGGAAUAUUGCACAAUGGGGGAAACCCUGAUGCAGCGACGCCGCGUGAGUGAAGAAGUAUUUCGGUAUGUAAAGCUCUAUCAGCAGGGAAGAUAAUGACGGUACCUGACUAAGAAGCCCCGGCUAACUAUGUGCCAGCAGCCGCGGUAAUACAUAGGGGGCAAGCGUUAUCCGGAAUUAUUGGGUGUAAAGGGUGCGUAGACGGAAGAACAAGUUGGUUGUGAAAUCCCUCGGCUCAACUGAGGAACUGCAACCAAAACUAUUCUCCUUGAGUGUCGGAGA